rnacentral:rRNA from 1 species
GACGAACGCUGGCGGCGCGCUUAACACAUGCAAGUCGAACGGAAAGGCCUGCUUUCCCUUGUGGAUUGCGGGUACUCGAGUGGCGAACGGGUGAGUAACACGUGAGUGAUCUGCCCCCAACUUGGGUAUAAGCCUGGGAAACUGGGUCUAAUUCCCGAUAGGACUGCAGGGUGGUGCCGGUGGUGGAAAACGUUUUUUUAGUGGUUGGGGAUGAGCCCGCGGCUUAUCAGCUUGUUGGUGGGGUAAUGGCCUACCAAGGCGGCGACGGGUAGCCGGACUGAGAGGGUGGACGGCCACAUUGGGACUGAGAUACGGCCCAGACUCCUACGGGAGGCAGCAGUGGGGAAUAUUGCACAAUGGGCGGAAGCCUGAUGCAGCGACGCCGCGUGGGGGAUGACGGCCUUCGGGUUGUAAACUCCUUUCGACCGCGAGGAAGCCACCUGGUUGGAAGGGUGGUGACGGUAGUGGUAGAAGAAGCACCGGCUAACUACGUG